rnacentral:lncRNA from 1 species
CGCACAAUAAAAUAAUAAUAUUAUAAUAAAACUUAAAUACCAGCUAUAAAGUGAUAUUUAUCUUAAAGAAGCAAAGUUUCUGAACUCAAACAUAGUCACGGAGAGCAUGAUGUAAUAAGUUCACAAAUUCUACUUUAUAGACCUUUCGGUGAUACGACCAAGAUAAUGUAUAAUAUCGGCAGGAAGAAAUCUUCGAUAUCCAUUUCUUUCGUGCGCUAGUAAAUACACAAAUAAGUUUUGCCGCAUCUCCAUACCAUCCUGUCACACAUUUGAGUAUAUGUAUAUAUAUUAGUGUGUGUCGCAUGGAUAAUACUACGUUUUUAUAAAAAAAAAAUUGUAUAAAAACUGAGACAAACUGUUAUACUCACGGUAUAAAUGUGUGUGGUUUGUGGUCUAUUCCAUGCAGACAUAUACUGUAGGACGAGAAAUCCACUUAAGUACCUGUAUGAUUCACAAUCAGCAAUAUAUAGAAAUAGUUAAAUCAUGGGAUGCAGUAAGCUGAUAUGGUAAUUCCAAAUCUAAACCAUGCCAAGUAGCUACACGACUUAUUCAUAUAGAAUCUAUAAAAAUGGAAACAUCUGCAGUAUAUAAAACAAAAUCUAUGCACUUGGAAUAAGGGAUCCACUAAAUGGAAGAAAUGAUACAAGAAUGCAUAAUUCAGUAUAAGGAAUUCUAAUAAACAAAUAGAUGUUGAAAGAGCUAAAAAUAACAACAACAAAAACUGGAAACCACAUGAUUGUUAUUCAAGAUUUGGUUUCUCCAGAGUUUUCAAAACAGCUCGCAACACGCUACACCAUUCUAAAAAACGAGUCUAUACAAAUUUCCCCCAAUCAAAUCAAAGGAUGAUGUAAUCAAGCACGUCUUGCAGCUCCAAAAUAUACCAGAUGAGUACUUUAGCACUUAAUCCUAAGAGCAUCCGAAUAGAACUAACAUUCUUUUUUGUGCAUAAGGACAGAACUAACCUAUAUUGAUAUUGAACAAAACAUGUUUUGUAGUUAUUAAGGAGACACAAUGAAAACAUUAAAAUGUAGAUACAGCUAAAUGUAAGAACCUCACCGGUGCUUCCUGGCCCUUUAGUUAUUCCAAAAGGUUGAAAAUCUGCUUAUCCCAGACUAUGAUAGAGUAUUGAUCAUCACCUCCAGAAACUAUUUUGCUGUGUUCUGAACUGGUAAUUUGAAUUCCCUGCAAAUUUCAAUUAAUUGACACAGAAAAAAUCAGGGCCUGAACUGUUAAUAAAAGACUGAAACUAUUUUGCCACGUUGUGAACUGGUAGUCAAAGACUGAAUCAGUUAAGUUUCGACAGGCUGAAUGCUUUGGUGUCUCUCCAUAGUGAAAGACACAAGCUAGCUCAAGUUUUCAUCUAUGUUAAUGAAACAGCACACGGAGCUUCAUCAAAGGUGAUACCAACUUGGCAACUUGCACGAACUCUGAACUUGAGCUAUUUGAUUGUUAUGAUUACCAAGUCUAUGUCCCGAUCACAUAAGAGAAUCUGGAGACUUAAGGAUUAGUGCAAUAUCUUGUUGGUUUUUCAUUUAUUAUAUUACUUGAUUUUGAUUGAGUUGUUUAGCUAGCAGUCCUCUAGUUGUCUGAUGAUCAUCACUACGGCAUAAAUCAAUCUCCAGCUGCAACGAUUUAAGUUUUUGACUUAAUUAUUUUGGGCUAUUUUAUCGCAUCAAGAUGUAGUUAUGCACUCUGGGAGCCAUCUAUCCUUGACAUGCUAGUUAAUCUAAUCCCAUUUAUUGCCCAACCAAAUUGCUAGAUUGGUGAAGUAGUGGCCGGGCCUGGUGAUGCUGCUCAAGGCCAGGUUCAUGAUGGUGUUCAGUAUGAUUUUGGUAAGUUGAGUUUCAUUAUAUGCAGGAUGAUGGAUGACGUACCCGGUGUCAGAGCCGCGGCGCUUGAACGACGACUUCGGAUUCUCGUCCUCGAUGUGCUGCUGCCUGCAGCAACGGCGGCUGCGAUCGAUGUCUCAGUAACGGUGGCUAGACGUUGGGCUUUGAUCUGCCAGCAACCGAGGUCAUGGUGCAUGAAGGGGAUAAUUUGUUAACUUGAAUGAUGGAUGACGUACCCGUUGUCGGAGCCGCGACACUUACCGAGGUAGCGAUGCUGGCGGCGUCGAGGUCAGGGAAAGGAUCGAUGUGAAAUCCUCGUUGUGCGGCUACCCUGAUUGUCGGGGCGACCGGAUCCGCGCCGAGGGAGGAGGCGGGCGAGGUCGGCACGACCUGAUCCGCGCCGAGGGAGGAGGCGGGCGAGGUCGUCUGCGCGACCGGAUCCGAGUGGAGGGAGGAGGCGUCGCCGCGCCGCGCGGGGAGGAGGCGGGCGAGGUCGUCCGCGCGACCGGAUCCGCGUGGAGGUCGGCGAGGGCCGCGCGGGGAGGCGGUCCGCGUGGAGGGAGGAGGAGUUGGGCCGCGCGGGGAGGAGGCGGGCGAUGGAGGAGGAGGCGAGGUCCGCGUGGAGGGAGGAGGAGGCGUCGCCGCGCGGGGAGGAGGCGGGCGAUGGAGGAGGAGGCGUCGCCGCGCCGAUGGAGGAGGCGGGCGAGGUCGGCGAGGUCCGCGCGAGGAGGCGGGCCGCGCGGGGAGGAGGCGUCGCCGCACCGCGCGGGGAGGAGGCGGGCAAUGGAGGAGGAGGCGAGGUCCGCGUGGAGGGGCGGGCGAGGUCGGCGAGGUCCGCGCGACCGGAUCCGCGCGGAGGAGGAGGUGGGCCGCGCGGGACGAUGUUCGCAGGAGGCAGGACGAAAGUGGGAGGGGAGAAUGUGGCACCAAAACGAUGUCCCCUCUUUAGUCUUUUUAGUUGUAGGAGAAGAGUUGUUAGUCAACUAGCUAACUAGCUUCAAUUAAUUUACGAUAAUUUUUAGUCCUAAAUAUAAGCUGACAGAAGAAGAAAUGCAAAGGUCGGCCCAGUAAACCAUCGGCGCUUUUCACGGCCCAUCAACGA